AACAUGGCGGAACUUUACAUGUGGUAGCAGAUGAUUUAGUCUGAUGUUUAAAGCUGCUUUGUGUGUCGCCUAAUAUAUACCAGAAUUAUUUGCUCGAUAAAGAAUUAGUAUUAUUGCAUUAAUUAAUUACAUCCAAGGUGUCAAGUUGAGAAACGAUUGAUAGCGGGAAGAGAGUGCAUAGUAAACAAUUACGAAUACGGAUUUUAGUGCCAGAUUGUGAACCAUUAGAGGAAAUAGAAUUUAAAGUGUAUGACGGUCAACCGCCAGUUCUUCAUUAUUAUAUAUACAACGGCGCAAUAUGUGUAAUUUAUCGUCAGUAUUUUUAUCGAUUUCUCCAUUACGUAUGCCCACGCACUCCACUUCUGGCUCUGACUGAAAUUCGGGUGCAAGGAACAGUUUUGUUCAUGCUAUGAUGAACGAAGAGUCAAUUUUAUCUCGGAAUGGCGCCUACGAUCAAUUGUGCUGUGUAAAAAUUGCACAUGUAUACAUUCGGCAAAUUUCUUUAGAAACUACUGAAAUGUGAUCGUUGUUGCAAAGAGCGAAAUUUACUGUUGCACCCGCAUGCCUUGUUUCAUAAGUGCAGAAAAAAACAAGCUAUGCAAAAUAAACACUGUUAUGCAAGAAAACUAUAAGUUACUCAGGUACCUUUAGCCAGUUAUCCUACACUUUAUGAAGAAUAAACUACUACAUUCGUUUCUGUCAACUCCUAAGAGCCAUGAGGCAAGUAGCUUUGCUCGAAAAUUGUACCGUACUGUUUUUAGUGUUUGAUAAUUAGGAAUGUUCUGUUCUAUAUCUGUUUCAAAAUAACUAAGUGGUCAUCAGCUAUUAUUUUUAUUUUGCCCUGCUGUCAGCUGGAUAAGUGCCAUUACAAAUUCAGAGGACCAGUCAGUCCUAAAUUUAUUUGUAACUUUCUACUUGUUCCACAUUUGUUAAUGAGAAAAAUGCCAAGGUGCAUAAUGGUUUACAGUCCACAUUAAAUUGUACAUCCCCCAUCACCACCGAACAGACUAGUUCGCAGCAAAUUCGCACCAAAGGCAGGCAAAGGUAUACCGAAGUUAACUUGGGAACAGUUCAUCAAUUGAGAGCACGAGACUGUAUUCACAGUAGGCCUAAUGAGAUCAUUCCCAUCUAGUGAUUUAGUGGUUCCUGUGUGACGAUAAAGAAUUGUGAUGAAACUUUGAGAAAAUGUAUGUUCCCAGCAAACAUUGUUAAAUAUUUAAGACCAUAAGACCACAUAUUACAUACUUGCACAAUAUAGUCAUUUGACAUCAUAAAGCAACUUUUGUGUGACUUGAGUUUACAACAACUUUGAUAUAUAAUACCUCUGGCAAUAUUAUUAUUUUUUUUUUU